rnacentral:tRNA from 1 species
GGAGCCGUAGCCAAGCGGUAAGGCAGAGGACUGCAACUCCUCGAGCACCAGUUCAAAUCUGGUCGGCUCCUCCA